CUCAGACCAGAAUGGAAAACCUAUUCAAUGGAUCAGUCAGAUUUGUCACCUCGAACUGUCGAGUUGUGAAAGUGUUGUUUUAAAGAUUUAUGGAGUGGAAGGUGACUUUGUGAAUUUCUGGACAGAUGUGAAAUACAAUCCUAAGCAACGUUGCACUCCGCACAAAAAUAAACGAUCCACCCUGACCAAAUAGUCCUGUAAGAUUAUUGCUUACAAAGGAAAAUUCUAAUCCAGCCACGUCCAUGAGAAGACCACUCCAAAAGCCAACAAAGAAACGAGG